rfam:Triticum aestivum genome assembly, contig: Triticum_aestivum_CS42_TGACv1_scaffold_221213_3B
UUUGUACUCCCUCCAUCCCAAAAUUCUUGUCUUAAAUUUAUCUAAAUACGGAUGUAUCUAGUUACAUUUUAGUGUUAGAUACAUCCGUCUCUAAACAAAUGUAAGACAAGAAUUUUCGGACGAAGGGAAUACUAC